rnacentral:lncRNA from 1 species
CCCCCCACCCCCGACUUUGACCUCCAGCUGCAGCCGUGGCCUGAAAUACCCCCCCCUCACCGGGAAAAUAAUAUUCCCGGGGGGGGGGAUCGAUCCCUGGAUGCCCCAAAGGGGGGGUUGAUGUGCUGGGAGGAGGGAGAGGCUGCUUGGGUGCGGGGGGUGGAGCUCAGGCACCCCAAAAUAUGGCUUGUGUGUGCUUGGGGUGGGGCUCGGUGGGUUUGUGCUGGGGAAAAAACUGAGUAUAACUUUAAAAAAAAAACAACCAACAAACAAAACAAAACCAAAACCACCUUAAAAAAGCCCUUUAGAAGGGUAAAGAUGGAUGCGGAGCGGGCAGGCAUGUAAACAGCUGGGGGCCGGAGUCUGUAUCAUUGAGAAAAAAUUCAGCAGGAUGGGUGGAUGCGGCCGGAGAAAGGAAAUGCUCCGGAGGAAAUCAGAGGCGUUGGGAGGCAGCCUCCCCCGACAUCUCCUGGGUACCUGGGGGGGUUGUUGUUGUUCCCCAGCACAAGGCAGAUUAAUGAUUUCCAGCCCCGCGCAGGAUGCGCUCCCUCCCGGACCCAGCGUUGCUCAAGGCUUCGUAACGGGGAAGAGCUCAGCAAAUUAAAUCCUGCUCCAACAAGUUUUGGAGGACCUGGAGUAAACACCGCUCCCUUUCCUGCCUCGUGCCUGGACGCGGCUUUUCCGCAGCCUCUCCCUGAGCCCAACCUGAGCUUUUUUUCCCCCGUAGGAAUUUGUCUUCUGGCAGCCCGUGACGGGGUCGGACAGGAUUUGGGGCUGAGCCCCCUCCCCAGGCAUCUCCGUGGGCAGCCCUGGCACAGAGAGCUUUUCCUGCCUGAGCUGUCCCUGAAAUGACUGCACUUGCCAGGAAUUGAGGCGUAAAUCGGCACCGGAGCUGGACGGGAGUCAGGCUGUUUUCUUCGGAACUUGUCUGAGCAGGUAAAGAGGGGGGGAAUCUCCUUUCGAGCACCUUCUGUUCAAUGUGUUUCUAAGGCUGCCCUGAAAAGGCAGGAAAAAAAAAAAAAGCAGGGUUGCCUUUAUCUGGGUAAGGACAGCAGCCUCAAAAAUGUAAAUAUGGAAAGGCUUGCUCUCAAAGAUUACGCUGCUGGACCUCGGUGAUGCAACAGGAUGAACUCACUUGAGCUGUGUUGGUUUUGUGCAAAACCACAUGGAAAAUCAGGAGCUGAAAAAAAAAGACAGUAAAAAAACUCUAAAUGCAAAAGUUGUAUCUUCUGUUGCUGGCGUUACAGUUAUUUAUGUUCUUGAAUGCCAGGUCUCGCUGCUGGGGGGAACGUGGCUCGUUGUCCUUUGUGAAGAUGAUACUGUGAAGAGUUUACAAG